GUAAAAUUUUUCCUACGUUCUUUUUUCAAAAAUAUCGUAAUGUGACUUUUCCUCCCCUUCUAAAACCUGAGCAUCUAAUCUUAGCUCAGUAAACUGCUGCUUGGCACGUCACCUUUCCUCCCGGCAAGUGGUAUGUAUACACGUGUUGGUGGAGUAACCUGACCAUGUACUGUAUAUUCUGUCCUCAGUCUACUGAAAAACAGAACAUGAUAGGUUCAUAAAUAGUUUCCUAUGCUCUGAGCUGAUCUGUUUAAAGUCUGCUCUUUGGGAUUGUUUUAUAAUUGAUGUCUGGAAGCUUCUUUCCUCUCUGCUUCCUCCUCAGCCCUGGGCUUCAUCUUCUGACAAGUGUUCUCCCAGCAGAGAAGCACUGGAGAGUCUCCUUUUCAACUUCAUGCUGAGCACAGAAGGGUGGAGGAGGCUGCUAGGAGGGAAUAGGAGCCCUUUGUUCUCCCAGACUGUGUCCUGUCCCUGCAGUGCUGGUGUCCGGGAGAAAUCAGUGGCUCUCCUGUGCAUCACAGCAUGCUGAUGCAAAUAUGGAGAUGCAGCUAUGUCCUCAGCUGGAAGCAAAUAUCUCUGCUGUGAGCCUGGCAGCAGCAGCACUGCUGUCCUCAGACCCCAAGGUGCCAGGGAAGCCAUGGCAGGGAGCUCAGUGGCAGUGGGUGCAGAGCUCAAUUCAACACCACCCUCUGGGUGAGCCCCGUCGCUGCUCAGAUAAAUCUGAUCACAAGAUUUAAAACUUUGCCACAUUCUUCUUCCUACAGUCAAGAGCUGAACAACUUGAGGUGUGCAGACUGAUUUUCACUGCAGGUUUCUUUGUCAUCCUCCUCGCAAUUCAAAAAGUCAAAUGCCAAGGCAUAAGCCCUUGUGUAUGAUUGGAAGUUCAAAGGUGGGUUCCUUUGGGAGCUUUUGCUUUCACUUACAGCACCCAGUGUUCCUAAACUGCUCUUUCCCUCGCAGCCGCUUCUGAUCCACCUCUCCAGCUACAUUUUGGUGGCAAGGGUUUGUUACGGCAGGAAGAAAUGAAAGAGAAGUGAAGAGAGGUCUGUGGAAACAAAAAGCCAGAUACAGCAUUUUCACAAUGCUGUCUUUAGAAUGAUAUGCUUCAUUCAGUGUAGUUUCUACACAUUAAACACAUUAAAGCCUACUUAGUGACUCACAUCUGCCCAGUAUAGCAACAUACAGUGCUCAAAUAAAGCUAGUCAGAGUUUUAGCUCUAAACAUCAGACAUGUAUAAUUAUAUUCACCAUCAUGUACCAUCAGCUAUUAUCGUUAUACCUCUUAGGAGCUUAUAAAAGGACCUUAGAAAAGUCCAGCAGCACCACAGAACCCCUCUACCACAGUAGAGUAGAGUAGAGACCACCUGCUCUGCUAUAAUACAGGAACAGCACUUACCAGAUGAGUCUUCCCCAUCAGGGUGGCCAGUGAGGUAGUGGUGCU
ensembl:lncRNA